ACUGCUUCUCAGCCUUUUAGCUAAGAUCAAGUGUAGUAUCUGCUCUUACCAGUUCAAUGUCUGAUAUGUUCUCUAUCUGAGAACGCAACAUUAAUCGGAAAUUUGGCACUAGGCGAUGGACUGUGAGCUUGCUCUGUCUACUCCAUGCAUCCUGGUAUUGCAGUGCUUCCAGGAAAGAUGCAUUGCCA